rnacentral:rRNA from 1 species
GAUGAACGCUGGCGGCGUGCCUAAUACAUGCAAGUCGAGCGAACAGACGAGGAGCUUGCUCCUCUGACGUUAGCGGCGGACGGGUGAGUAACACGUGGAUAACCUACCUAUAAGACUGGGAUAACUUCGGGAAACCGGCGCUAAUACCGGAUAAUAUAUUGAACCGCAUGGUUCAAUAGUAAAAGACGGUUUUGCUGUCACUUAUAGAUGGAUCCGCGCCGCAUUAGCUAGUUGGUAAGGUAACGGCUUACCAAGGCAACGAUGCGUAGCCGACCUGAGAGGGUGAUCGGCCACACUGGAACUGAGACACGAUCCAGACUCCUACGGGAGGCAGCAGUAGGUAAUCUUCCGAACUGGGCGAAAGCUUGACGGAGCAACGCCGCGUGAGUGAUGAAGGUCUUCGGAUCGUAAAACUCUGUUCUUAGGGAAGAACAAAUGUGUAAGUAACGAUGCACGUCUUGACGGUACCGAAACAGAAAGCCACGGCUAACUACGU